ACAACGGCCUUUUUCAAGGCCAUUUCUGUUGACACAAGAUGGCCCU
rfam:Macaca mulatta chromosome 6, whole genome shotgun sequence.